GACGAAGGGGGCUAGCGUUGUUCGGAAUCACUGGGCGUAAAGCGCACGUAGGCGGAUUUGUCAGUCAGGGGUGAAAUCCCGGGGCUCAACCUCGGAACUGCCUUUGAUACAGCAAGUCUUGAGUUCGAGAGAGGUGGGUGGAAUUCCUAGUGUAGAGGUGAAAUUCGUAGAUAUUAGGAAGAACACCGGUGGCGAAGGCGGCCCACUGGCUCGAUACUGACGCUGAGGUGCGAAAGCGUGGGGAGCAAACAGG
rnacentral:rRNA from 1 species